AUACGGAGGAUCCGAGCGUUAUCCGGAUUUAUUGGGUUUAAAGGGUGCGCAGGCGGCCAUUUAAGUCAGCGGUUAAAUCGUGGGGCUCAACCCCAUUCUGCCGUUGAUACUGGGUGGCUUGAUUGCGGUCGAGGUUGGCGGAAUUCGUUGUGUAGCGGUGAAAUGCAUAGAUAUGACGAAGAACACCGAUUGCGUAGGCAGCUGACCAGACCGCAAAUGACGCUCAUGCACGAAAGUGCGGGGAUCGAACAGGAUUAGAUACCCUGGUAGUCCGCACAGUAAACGAUGAAUACGUGUUUUCGGCGAUAUAAUGUCGGAGGCAAAGCGAAAGCGAUAAGUAUUCCACCUGGGGAGUACGCCGGCAACGGUGAAACUCAAAGGAAUUGACGGGG
rnacentral:rRNA from 1 species